UACGGGGGGGGGGGCAAGCGUUUGUUUCGGGAAUUACUGGGCGUAAAGGGCUCGUAGGCGGCCAACUAAGUCCGACGUGAAAUCCCCCAGGCUUAACCUGGGGAACUGCGUCGGAUACUGGAUGGCUUGAAUUCGGGAGAGGGAUGCAGAAUUCCAGGUGUAGCGGUGAAAUGCGUAGAUAUCUGGAGGAAUACCGGUGGCGAAGGCGGCAUCCUGGACCGACAU
rnacentral:rRNA from 1 species